rnacentral:rRNA from 1 species
CCUACGGGGGGCAGCAGUGAGGAAUAUUGGUCAAUGGACGAGAGUCUGAACCAGCCAAGUAGCGUGAAGGAUGACUGCCCUAUGGGUUGUAAACUUCUUUUAUAUGGGAAUAAAAUGUUCCACGUGUGGGAUUUUGUAUGUACCAUAUGAAUAAGGAUCGGCUAACUCCGUGCCAGCAGCCGCGGUAAUACGGAGGAUCCGAGCGUUAUCCGGAUUUAUUGGGUUUAAGGGGAGCGUAGGUGGAUUGUUAAGUCAGUUGUGAAAGUUUGCGGCUCAACCGUAAAAUUGCAGUUGAAACUGGCAGUCUUGAGUACAGUAGAGGUGGGCGGAAUUCGUGGUGUAGCGGUGAAAUGCUUAGAUAGCACGAAGAACUCCGAGUGCGAAGGCAGUUCACUGGACUGCAACUGACACUGAGGCUCGAAAGUGUGGGUAUCAAACAGGAUUAGAUACCCGAGUAGUC